rnacentral:lncRNA from 1 species
UGAGAGCGAGAGAGAGAGAAAGAAAGAGAACAUGAGAAAUAGUGAAAAAAAGAAUAUGUAGAAAGGACGAAUUUGAUUUCCACGAAAUCACACUAGGGCGCGUAUAUUUUUCCCGAAUUCUGUCCUCUGGAUGAGUGUUUUCUAUUUCUAAAACUCCAUUUUAUUUAUUAUUGGUCAUUGAAAAUGUUCGUAGUGCUCUUAUUAUAAAUAGAGUAUAGAUUUUUAUGCAUUUAUGAAAAAUUUGGAAAUGCAACAGGAUUAUAUAAAAUGUCCAAAGUAUAGUAUCCUCUACAAUAUUUAAUAGAUAAAACAAUUUCUUAUUCAAAUUGCAAUUUCUUAAUUAUAUUCGUAAAAAUGUGAAUUUGCAUGAAUAUACGUAGUCUGAUUAUGUAUUUCAUUCAAAUAAUAAAACGAAUAAAUAUUAUUCGUAUAAAUAUUAUCCUUAGUUGGAUACUAAAGUGAAUUAAAGAGAAAUAUCGAGAAUUCGUUAAUGAACUAAAUCUUUCUUAACUUUCGCUACGAAUUUUCGAAUUCUUCAAAUAUAAAUUAUACAAAUAUAAAUAUAAAUUAUAAAUUACAAGUUUCUACAUGUUUCAAUUCAAUUCGAAUUUGUUUGCUUUCAUCGUAGCUGAACGAUAAAGUGAUAGUGAUCCAGAUGGCAGAUCGAUCGACAAUGCUCCGCACAGGUCUGUUCGAUAGGACGAACGAACAUUAAAUUUAAGAUAAUUAGAUAGAGUUUAAAACACAAUUUGUGAUUCGAUCAGUGGAUUAAUCGAGUAAUCGAAAUUGAAGUCACGUGUGAAGCAAAGAAGGUUCGCACCAAGUCCAGAUCGGUUGAUCUCGAUCGUACAAAAAUAAAUUAGAAAAACAGACAAAAAAGAGUGAAAACUGGAAGAGACGAGGAUAAAGACAAAGCGAUAAAAUGUAUAGAUCGAAUUCUGGAACUUGGUCGGCAUUCUCAGUGUUCCCGACAAAAAUGUACUUACGACAAAAGGAAGAUAUCUACUGAAAAGUACAAUUUUCAAUUUCUCAAGAAUACAAUUUUUAUAUUCAACACUGAAAUUUUUAUCCUUUACAAAAUAAGGGCAAAAAAAGAAAGAGGAAAAGCAUGACAAUAUCAGAUAAAACGAUUCUCCGUUUAACUCUAAAGACAAUUUUUCAAUAUAUUUCCUUUACAAAUCACAAUCUCUUUUCUUUGAUCUCUUAAGUAAAUUUUAGAAAUACAAUAGAAAACUUUUAGGAAAGUUAUUUUCCAAUUAUAUCUAUCAUUUCUCUACCGACAUGCCAUUGAGAGAACUACAUUUCUUUUUAUGCUAAUUUGAGCAAUUUUUGAUAUAUACAAAUAUGCGAUAAGCUGACUCGUUGAGUCGUCGGUAAAGAACGGCAUCUGGAAUGGCGAAAGUGAAACUAUAACUGAAGUUGAAUAUCUCAAUUUCUUAAUGCCUCUCUUGACAUUGAGGAAGCGACUAUUAUUUAAGAAACUUUAGAGACACAUUUCAUACCAGUUUCUUGAUGACCACGAAGGAUUCUUCAUUCAUAGGAAGAAGAUCCGUGUUACCUGAGUGUCCUAGACCUUGCGCGAGGGUGAAAGUCGAGGUCGAGAUCGACUCGGUGAUUUGGAUCUCAUUGAGGAAGCAUCGAUCCAGCUGUCUAAAUACAGAUAUUUCUCCUCAAAAAGUAUUAAAUGACUAAGAUAGAUAGAAUUCAAUUCCUAUGAUAAAUUAAUUUAUUUAAUGAAAUACUAUAUUCUGCAUU